ensembl:rRNA 5S_rRNA 5S ribosomal RNA
GUCUAUGCCCAUAUCACCCUGAAUGCACCCAAUCUCAUCUCAUCUCAGAAGCUAAGCAGGGUCAGCCUGGUUAGAACUUGGAUGGGAGACAUAAAUA